rnacentral:tRNA from 1 species
GCCCGGGUGGCGAAACUGGUAGACGCAAGGGACUUAAAAUCCCUCACCCUUCGGGGUAUGCGGGUUCGACCCCCGCCCUGGGCA